rnacentral:rRNA from 1 species
ACUCCUGCGGGAGGCAGCAGUGGGGAAUUUUGGACAAUGGGCGAAAGCCUGAUCCAGCAAUGCCGCGUGUGUGAAGAAGGCCUUCGGGUUGUAAAGCACUUUUGUCCGGAAAGAAAUCCUUGGCUCUAAUACAGUCGGGGGAUGACGGUACCGGAAGAAUAAGCACCGGCUAACUACGUGCCAGCAGCCGCGGUAAUACGUAGGGUGCGAGCGUUAAUCGGAAUUACUGGGCGUAAAGCGUGCGCAGGCGGUUUGCUAAGACCGAUGUGAAAUCCCCGGGCUCAACCUGGGAACUGCAUUGGUGACUGGCAGGCUAGAGUAUGGCAGAGGGGGGUAGAAUUCCACGUGUAGCAGUGAAAUGCGUAGAGAUGUGGAGGAAUACCGAUGGCGAAGGCAGCCCCCUGGGCCAAUACUGACGCUCAUGCACGAAAGCGUGGGGAGCAAACAGGAUUAGAUACCCCGGUAGUCC